UCUACUCUUCUACCAUAUGAGGACACAAGAUCUGCCCCUUUUGCCCUUUUCACCCUUCCACCAUGUGAGGAUGCAGCAGAAGGCCCUCACCAGACCCCAAAUAUGAGUGCUUUGAUCUUGGACUUCCCAGCCUUCAAACUUGUUACAAUGAACAUACUUGAACAUGUAUCUUUCUGCAACCUCCUCAUAUUUAAUGUGAUGCCAGUCAACAUCUUAACAGAAGUUUUCCAGAGAACUUGACAAGCUCCUGAAAUUCAAAUGAAAACAGGAACCAAGAACAGCCAAAAAUCAUUUUGAAGAGUAAUAAUAAGGAAAUCCUGCCAUAUCAAAAUACAUUUUAAUGUUCUAAUAAAGUAGUAUGAUAUUGUUACAAGAGACAUAUCAAUACGAUAGAGAACUUAGGACACACAUAGGUUUGGUAUGUGAUACAGGUGACAUUAUAGAUCAAUGGAGGAAAUAAAUGUUCAAUAAGUGAAUCCUCAUAUUGAAAAAGAUAAAAUUAGAUCUAGUGAUAUGGUUUGGUUGUGUCCCCACCCAAAAUCUCAUCCUGAAUUGUAAUCCCCAUAAUCCCCACACGUCAAGGGUGGGAUGAGGUGGAGGUAACUGGAUGAUGGGGAUGGUUCGCCCUAUGUUGUUCUCAUGAUAGUGAGUGAGUUCUCACGAGAUAUAAUGAUUUUAUAAGCAUCUGGCAUUUCCCCUGCUUGCUUCUCCCCCCUGCUACUCUGUGACUAGGUGCCUUCUACCAUGAUUGUAAGUUUCCUAAGGCCUCCCCAGCCAUGCUGAACUGUGAGUCAAUUAAACCUCUUUCCUUUAUAAA